rnacentral:rRNA from 1 species
AGAGUUUGAUCAUGGCUCAGGACGAACGCUGGCGGCGUGCUUAACACAUGCAAGUCGAACGAUGAAGCCGGGGCUUUUUGUUUUGGUGGAUUAGUGGCGAACGGGUGAGUAAUACGUGAGUAACCUGCCCUUGUCUUUGGGAUAAGCCUGGGAAACUGGGUCUAAUACCGGAUAUUCUGCUUUUGCCGCAUGGUGGGGGUUGGAAAGAUUUUUUGGAUGGGGAUGGGCUCACGGCCUAUCAGCUUGUUGGUGGGGUGAUGGCCUACCAAGGCGUCGACGGGUAGCCGGCCUGAGAGGGUGACCGGCCACAUUGGGACUGAGAUACGGCCCAGACUCCUACGGGAGGCAGCAGUGGGGAAUAUUGCACAAUGGACGCAAGUCUGAUGCAGCGACGCCGCGUGGGGGAUGAAGGCUUUCGGGUUGUAAACUCCUUUCAGUACAGAAGAAGCAUUUUUUGUGACGGUAUGUGCAGAAGAAGCGCCGGCUAACUACGUGCCAGCAGCCGCGGUAAUACGUAGGGCGCGAGCGUUGUCCGGAAUUAUUGGGCGUAAAGAGCUCGUAGGCGGUUUGUUGCGCCUGCUGUGAAAGACCGGGGCUUAACUUCGGGGUUGCAGUGGGUACGGGCAGACUAGAGUGUGGUAGGGGUAAUUGGAAUUCCUGGUGUAGCGGUGGAAUGCGCAGAUAUCAGGAGGAACACCGAUGGCGAAGGCAGGUUACUGGGCCAUUACUGACGCUGAGGAGCGAAAGCGUGGGUAGCGAACAGGAUUAGAUACCCUGGUAGUCCACGCUGUAAACGUUGGGCACUAGGUGUGGGGCCUUUUCCACGGGUUCUGCGCCGUAGCUAACGCUUUAAGUGCCCCGCCUGGGGAGUACGGCCGCAAGGUUAAAACUCAAAGGAAUGA